rnacentral:rRNA from 1 species
UAGAACAAAGUAGGUAAGGUAAGUCGGCAAAAUAGAUCCGUAACCUCGGGAUAAGGAUUGGCUCUGAGGGUUGGGCCUAGGGGUCUCUUGAGUGACGGAAGUGGCGUCCAGGAUCGGACUGCGGUUUCGGCUGCGGACUGAACCAGGAAGCUCUCCUGAGGUCUUGAGAACGUCUUCGGACUUUUCCCUAGUGCGUGGAACAACCAACUCAGAACUGGAG